UACGGGGGGAGCAAACGUUGUUCGGAAUCACUGGGCGUAAAGCGUGCGCAGGCGGCUUUGCAAGACAGAUGUGAAAUCCCCGGGCUUAACCUGGGAAUGGCAUUUGGGACUGCAAGGCUCGAGUGCGGCAGAGGAGACUGGAAUUCCUGGUGUAGCAGUGAAAUGCGUAGAUAUCAGGAGGAACACCGGUGGCGAAGGCGGGUCUCUGGGGCCGAUGACUGACGCUGAGGAGCGAAAGCGUGGGGAGCGAACAGG
rnacentral:rRNA from 1 species